rnacentral:rRNA from 1 species
UGCAAGUCGAGCGAGAAAGCACUUCGGUGUGAGUAGAGCGGCGGACGGGUGAGUAACGCGUGGGAAUGUGCCUUUUGGUUCGGAAUAGCCCCGGGAAACUGGGAGUAAUACCGGAUAAGCCCUUCGGGGGAAAGAUUUAUCGCCAAAAGAUCAGCCCGCGUUAGAUUAGCUAGUUGGUGAGGUAACGGCUCACCAAGGCGACGAUCUAUAGCUGGUCUGAGAGGACGACCAGCCACACUGGAACUGAGACACGGUCCAGACUCCUACGGGAGGCAGCAGUGGGGAAUCUUGGACAAUGGGCGCAAGCCUGAUCCGGCCAUGCCGCGUGAGUGAUGAAGGCCUUAGGGUUGUAAAGCUCUUUCAAUAGUGAAGAUAAUGACGGUAACUAUAGAAGAAGCUCCGGCUAAAUUCGUGCCAGCAGCCGCGGUAAUACGAAGGGGGCUAGCGUUGUUCGGAAUCACUGGGCGUAAAGCGUACGCAGGCGGAUUUGCAAGUCAGAAGUGAAAUCCCAGGGCUCAACCCUGGAACUGCUUUUGAAACUGCAAAUCUAGAGUCCGAGAGAGGGUAGUGGAAUUCCUAGUGUAGAGGUGAAAUUCGUAGAUAUUAGGAGGAACACCAGUGGCGAAGGCGACUGCCUGGCUCGGUACUGACGCUCAGGUGCGAAAGCGUGGGGAGCAAACAGGAUUAGAUACCCUGGUAGUCCACGCCGUAAACGAUGUAAACUAGCCGUUGGGACCUUAGGUUUCAGUGGCGCAGCUAACGCAUUAAGCACUCCGCCUGGGGAGUACGGUCGCAAGAUUAAAACUCAAAGGAAUUGACGGGGACCCGCACAAGCGGUGGAGCAUGUGGUUUAAUUCGAGGCAACGCGCAGAACCUUACCAGCCCUUGACAUCCCGAUUGGGAGGAGCAGAGAUGCACCUCUUCAUUUAGUUGGAUCGGUGACAGGUGCUGCAUGGGCUGUCGUCAGCUCGUGUCGUGAGAUGUUGGGUUAAGUCCCGCAACGAGCGCAACCCCUGUUAUCAGUUGCCAUCAGUUCGGCUGGGCACUCUGAUGAAACUGCCGGUGAUAAGCCGGAGGAAGGCGGGGAUGACGUCAAGUCCUCAUGGCCCUUAUGGGCUGGGCUACACACGUGCUACAAUGGCGGUGACAACGGGCAGCGAAGGGGCAACCCGGAGCCAAUCCCCAAACGCCGUCUCAGUUCGGAUUGCACUCUGCAACUCGAGUGCAUGAAGUAGGAAUCGCUAGUAAUCGCGGAACAGCAUGCCGCGGUGAAUACGUUCCCGGGCCUUGUACACACCGCCCGUCACACCAUGGGAGUUGGUUUUACCUUAAGCCGGUGCGCUAACCUCAAGG